AUCUACCAGGCUGUUGCUAAGUUCUUUGAAUCUAAGCCCAUCUCAGACUCGUUGCAAGAUACCCAAAUCAGACAAACUAAAGUCUUAUAAAUCAAAACUGCAUUGUCAGAUUAAACAGGACCAAUAAUAAUCCAUAUUCUAGUGGUGAUGUCAAGUAAGGAAGGCUAUGGAUAUUCUUUGGUUGCUGGGGUUCAUUCAUCGAUGUGAUUUCAAUUUUGAAAACAAGAUAUCUUAGAGGAAGAGCCGGGUGUAUGUGUUGAAGGGGCAUACCAAGAAAAGAAAAUCGAAAUUUCAUUGUAAAACCUAAUACCAAA
rnacentral:lncRNA from 1 species